GCUUAGGCUGGAGUGCAGUGGCAUGAUCACAGCUCACUGCAGCCUUGACCUCCCAGGCUCAAGCGAUCCUCUUACCUCAGCCUCCUGAGUAGCUGGGACUACAGAUGUACACCAUCACGCCUGGCUAAUUUUUGUAUUUUUUGUGGAGACGGAGUUUUUCCAUGUUUCCCAGGCUAGUCUUGAACUCCUCCUGGGCUUAAGUGAUUCUCCCACCUCACCCUCCUGAGUAGUGGGAACUGCAGAUGUGAGCCACCACACUCGGCCUGGAACAGUGAAAUUUUGAUACCAGGCGUUACCAUCUUCCCAUCGAUGCAUUUCGCCCUUUCUCAGCCUCCUGACAGUGGACCUCCACCAUUGCCAACGUCCUCCCUCCCAGAAGGUUAUUAUGAGGAAGCUGUGCCGCUGAGCCCCGGAAAAGCUCCAGAAUACAUCACAUCAAAUUAUGAUUCUGAUGCGAUGAGCAGCUCUUAUGAGUCGUAUGAUGAAGAGGAGGAGGACGGGAAGGGGAAGAAAACCCGGCACCAGUGGCCCUCCGAGGAGGCCUCCAUGGACCUGGUCAAGGACGCCAAAAUCUGUGCCUUCCUGCUGCGGAAGAAGCGGUUCGGCCAGUGGACCAAGUUGCUCUGCGUCAUCAAAGACACCAAACUGCUGUGCUAUAAAAGUUCCAAGGACCAGCAGCCUCAGAUGGAACUGCCACUCCAAGGCUGUAACAUUACGUACAUCCCGAAAGACAGCAAAAAGAAGAAGCAUGAGCUGAAGAUUACUCA
rnacentral:sRNA from 1 species